rnacentral:rRNA from 1 species
UACGUAGGGGGCAAGCGUUGUCCGGAAUCAUUGGGCGUAAAGAGCGUGUAGGCGGCUCGAUAAGUCUGCUGUGAAAGUCCAGGGCUCAACCCUGGAAGGCCGGUGGAAACUGUCGGGCUAGAGUCCGGAAGAGGCGAGUGGAAUUCCCGGUGUAGCGGUGAAAUGCGCAGAUAUCAGGAAGAACACCAAUGGCGAAAGCAGCUCUCUGGGACGGUACUGACGCUGAGACGCGAAAGCGUGGGGAGCGAACAGG